rnacentral:rRNA from 1 species
CAAUAGCGUAUAUUAAAGUUGUUGCGGUUAAAAGCUCGUAGUUGGAUUUCUGUUGAGGAUGGACGGUCCGCACUAAGUGCGUGUAUCUGUUACAGCCUCGGCAUCCUCUAGGAGAACGGCGCUGUGAUUCAUUUCAUGGUCCGGAAUUCUAGACUUUUACUUUGAGGAAAUGAGAGUGUUCCAAGCAGGCAAUCGCCGUGAAUAUGAUAGCAUGGAAUAAUAGCACAGGACUCUUGGUUCAAUGCUGUUGGUUAAUUGAACUAGAGUAAUCACAAUAAGGAUAGUUGGGGGUAGUUCGUAUUUAACUGUCAGAGGUGAAAUUCUUGGAUUUUUAAAGUACGAACAAUUGCGAAGGCAUCUACCCAGGAUGUUUUUGUUGAUCAAGAACGAAAGUUAGGGGAUCGAAGACGAUUAGAUACCGU